GCAGCAGCCACGGGAAUACGAAGGGUGCAAGCGUUACUCGGAAUUACUGGGCGUAAAGCGUGCGUAGGUGGUGGUUUAAGUCCGUUGUGAAAGCCCUGGGCUCAACCUGGGAAUUGCAGUGGAUACUGGGUCACUAGAGUGUGGUAGAGGGUAGUGGAAUUUCCGGUGUAGCAGUGAAAUGCGUAGAGAUCGGAAGGAACAUCUGUGGCGAAGGCGACUAUCUGGGCCAACACUGACACUGAGGCACGAAAGCGUGGGGAGCAAACAGGAUUAGAUACCCCCGUAGUCCCUGUCUCUUAUAC
rnacentral:rRNA from 1 species